rnacentral:lncRNA from 1 species
CCGUCCUUCCUCCUCCUCCCCUCCCAUUGCUUCUCGAGCGUAGCUUCCUUCCUUCCCUCUCUGAUUCAUCUGGGAGUUCUUGCGAAGCUGUUCGACCGAGGCGAGAUGGAGCCCAAGCGGAAGGCCGACGACGAGCUUAACGGGACAAGGCAUCCGGCUGCGCGUGCGCGGACGGACACUAGAGACGGCGAUGACCUCGCCGGUACAUCGGCGCAGCCAUCAGGGACGACGGCGAAUGCAGCCGGCGACGGCAUUGCGGGGAUUUCGCAGGCGCUUGCGGGGCUGACGACGGCGACUACAGGCUCCGCCGGCGGCUCUUCCCAGUCCGGUGGAGGUGGGUGCCCAAGAAAUCAAGGCAUACGACCGAGCGCGGGGUUCGUUCUUGGAUUGUAACCUUCGGUAACUUCGUUUCUUGCAGUUCUCGGGCGCGGCCCAUGGUCGGGGCAGAGGGGAAGGGGAUUCGCUCCGCCGCCACGGCAGGCUUUUCCAGGGCAGACGACGACUACACCGGUCUUCGUUUUAGGUGGAGGUGGGUGCCCAAGAAAUCAAGGCAUACGAUCGAGCGCGGGGUUCGUUCUUGGACUGUAACCUUCGGUAACUUCGUUUCUUGCAGUUCUCGGGCGCGGCCCAUGGUCGGGGCAGAGGGGAAGGGGAUUCGCUCCGCCGCCACGGCAGGCUUUUCCAGGGCAGACGGCGACUACACCGGCCUUCGCUUUAGGUGGAGGUGGGUGCCCAAGAAAUCAAGGCAUACGAGCUUGGGUUGAUCAUGUCGUUUCUUGGAUUGUAACCUUCGGUAACUUCGUUUCUUGCAGUUCUCGGGCGCGGCCCAUGGUCGGGGCAGAGGGGAAGGGGAUUCGCUCCGCCGCCACGGCAGGCUUUUCCAGGGCAGACGGCGACUACACCGGCCUUCGCUUUAGGUGGAGGUGGGUGCCCAAGAAAUCAAGGCAUACGAGCUUGGGUUGAUCAUGUCGUUUCUUGGAUUGUAACAUCCCAUUGCUUCGUUUCUUGUCUUCUUGCAGCUGCUCGCGGGGCAGGGGAUGGGUUGGGGUACAGGGGAUUCUCCCAGCCGCAUGGAAGGGCGCCGUCUCAGGGGAUGCUCCGGCCGCCGGUGGGCAAUCCAGGUGAGUUCACUCCCAAAUUCAUUCUGAUCCGUGCGUUUCUUGGUUCUUCAUUGACGACGGAGUUGGAUUUCCUGGUUUCUGUUGCAGCCGGUACAUCGGCGCAGCCAUCAGGGACGACGGCGAAUGCAGCCGGCGACGGCAUUGCGGGGAUUUCGCAGGCUCUUGCGGGGCUUACGACGGCGACUACAGGCUCCGCCGGCGGCUCUUCCCAGUUCGGUGGAGGUGGGUGCCCAAGAAAUCAAAGCAUACGAGUUUGGGUUGAUCAUGUCGUUUCUUGGAUUGUAACAUCCCAUUGCUUCGUUUCUUAUCUUCUUGCAGACAGGAACAGGGGGUUCUCCCAGCCGCAUGGAAGGGCGCCGUCUCAGGGGAUGCUCCGGCCGCUGGUGGACAAUCCAGGUGAGUUCACUCCCAAAUUCAUUCUGAUCCGUGCGGUUCUUGGUUCUUCAUUGACGUCGGAGUUGGAUUUCCUGGUUUCUGUUGCAGCCGGUGCGCGUCCGCCCUUCCCGUACCUGUACCACGCGCCGACCGGCAAUGGUUUCUUCAACGCCCAGAACCAGAUCGCCGGCCACUUGCAGACGGGAACAGGGCAGCAGCAGAUGCCAUCUCAGGGGAUGCUCCGGCCGCCGCCAGGCAAUCCAGGUGAGUUCCCUCCCAAGAAAAGCGCCAAAUUCUUUCUGAUCCGCGCGGUUCUUGGUUCUUGAUUGACGCCGGAGUUGGAUUUCAUGGUUCUUCAUUGACGCCGGAGUUGGAUUUCCAUGUUUCUGUUGCAGCCGGUGGGCGUCCGCCCUACCCGUACCAGAACCACGCGCCGACCGGCAAUGGUUCGCUCUCCGGCCAGACCCAGAACCACGCGCCGACCGGCAAUGGUUGGCUCUCCGGCCAGACCCAGAACCACGCGCCGACCGGCAAUGGUUCGCUCUCCGGCCAGACCCAGAACCACGCGCCGACCGGCAAUGGUUCGCUCUCCGGCCAGACCCAGAACCACGUCGCCGGCCCCAGGCAGAACGGAACAGGGCACCCGCGCGGCCACUCCGGCAGGGUAAUUUGCGACGCGUUAUUUUCCAUUCAUUUGUUAUUUCCCAUUCAUUCGUUAUUGAUUUCUUGUUGGAUCUUGGCAUUUGUUGCAACAGGCAUACGAUGGUGCUCCAGUCAGUCCCUUCCAUCGGCCGUGCCCUCGUUGCAACAGGCCGACGAUCGUGUAUUGGGGACUGUCGCCAUUGUGCACGGAUUGCUACACCCAUUUCUUCCUCAGGAACGUGUUUGAGAACCACCCGGAGAUCCGCUACGUGCCUCCGCGUCCAGUCCUCAGCAACGGCGGCGCGACUCAGGGUCACCAGCAGCCUUCUUCCUCGUCCGCGGAGCUGGCCCGGCUUGCCGUCGGCCCUGGUCCAUGGUGCCGUAUUUGCCAAGCGGCCACCACGCGGGUUUAUCGCUCGUCGCCAUUAUGCGAGCCUUGCUACAACCUUUUCGUCGGCACCUUCGACCUGCGUCCGCAGCACACGCAGGCCGGCCACGCGGGUGCGCCUGGAGGGGCUGCGGCCAUUAGGCCUUCUUCCAGCUCCAGCUCCAGCUCGAGCUCGAGCUCGGACGUGGGUUCGGGGCCGAUCUGCCAGGCUUGUGGCCACCCCUUGGGCACCGGAAACAGGGCGUGCAGGUUUUGCCACAGCAACGGCCAGGGCCAGGGCUAGGCUAGCUCAUACUCGUCGCUCUGGUUUGCUCUGUUCUCAACUCUCCGAGCCUUUUCUGAUUGCUCUGUUUUGACAAACAUGUGGUCAAAUGUGGCAAAUACAUACACACAGACACAGUAGAUCUGAUUGUUUCCAUUGUCAGUGACAUUUAUAAAUGAUACUCUUCAUACUUGUUGUGGAUGUCAGUGUGCAAUCCGAUUCCUUAAUCUUUGGUUUCUUUCCUAAUCUUCGGUUCAAUUCCUGCGCUUUGAUCUUGCCCCAAUUGUGUGGCUGGAUCACUUUUCGUUCAACCAAAUCAGUACUCGCCAGCUUCUUCCAUGAGACUACACUUUAUUAUACAAGCGACCAAACUGAAGAUGAGUUCAAAUCCUAAUUAACAGUAUGCUAUGGCCAAUACAUACAUAUCUUUGUCGUCUGUAAAUGAUGAUUUGGGCAGAGAAUACCUUGAUUCGUUCGUACAAAGUACUCCCUCCGUUUUUAUAUACAAAGCCACUUCGUUUUUCGGUCAAGUUUUGACUUGUAAUUUUGAUCAACAAAAUAUGAGAUAUAAUUCAUAAAAAAAUAGAUUAUUGAAAAGUUCAUUCAAAUAGAUUAUAAAAAAAAUGACCUUGUAUUUAGUAGAUGAAGGGAGUAUUAUUUUGUUGUUUCCCGACGCUUUAGUGUUGCCUCAUUUCUUUGACAGAUUCAGUCUAUUAAAUCCAGCGAGUGCUCAAUUUUUUUGGGACUAUGUAUAAUGAUUUCUAAAUCCACAAAUUUGGCGAUAUAACAACACCCGAUAUGUAGGUUUAUUUCUUUUAAGCACGUGAUUUAGAGCAGAGUCUCGUGCUGAUUUACGCAGUCUUCUCUAAUAUUAUGCACGGAUGAUGUGCAUUUCCGAAUUGCACACUAAUGCUAUAUUCAUGAAAGUACUUUAUCCUACUCCACCCGUUCCUAAAUAUAAGUUUUUUUAAAGGUUCUGUUAGGAAAUACAUACGGAUGUUUAUAGAUAUAUUUUUGAAUGUAGAUUCAUCCAUUUUGCUUCGUAUUUAGUCUCUUGUGAAAUCUCUAAAAAGACUUAUAUUUAGAAACGAAAAUAGUAUUAGGCAUGUAGUUUGCUACUUGCGAUAGAUGUCGAAGGAAUCACCCACUAGUAAGUGGGCCGGCCUAUUAGCGAGAGUAUAGAAAACCUUCCGGCGGUAUUGCGGAGGUGCUUCCUACGGUUUUGCAACUUUAAAUCGGUUUUGGGAAGGUUCCGUCCUUUUUUAAUUUUCUAAACCAGUUUUCUUGGGUUUUUCCUUUUUAAUGCCUUUUCCUUCUUUUUCUUACUUCACUUUUACUUUUUGAAUUCGUUGAUAUUUUAAAAAUUCAUGAUAUUUGUUCAUGUUCGCGAAUUGCUUCUAAAUUAUUGAUUUUUUCCACAAUUCACAAAUAUUUAAAGAAAGUUAAACUUCUAAAAUUUUGUGAAUAUUUUUUAUAUUUAUAAAACAUUUGUUUGAAUCCAGGAAGAUUUUAUGAAUUUUAAAAAUGGUGUGUUAACAUUUCUUGAAUGAGUGCUAAUUUUUUUGGGCUAUGUAUCAUGAUUUCUAAACCCUCGAGUUUGGCAGUAUAACAUCACCCAAUAUCUAGGUUUACUUAUUUUAAGCAAGUGAUUUGGAGUGGAGUCUCAUGGUGAUUUUAAGCAACUUCUGCAAAAUCUUCUCUAAUAUUUUGCACUAAUGAUGUACAUUUCCAGGUUGCAUCGUAAUGCUAUAGCCAUGAAAGUCCUUUAAACUAUCAUUAGGCCUGUAGUUUGCUAAUUGUGAUACAUGUCGAAAGUAUCGCCCACUAGAGCGUGGGCUGGCCCAUUAGCGAUAGUGUAGGAAACCUUCCGGUGGUAUUGCUAAGGUCCUUCCUCUGGUUUUGUAACUUAAGCUCGGUUUUCGGAUUUCUCAAAAAAAAAAAACUCGGUUUUGGAAAGAUUCCGACAUUUAUUUUAUUUUAUGCACCAGCUCCCUUGUUUUUGUUUCUUGAUUUUUAGUUAUUUUUUUAUUUUUCCUUGUUGUUUUAUUUCACCCUUUCAUCUUUUAAAUAUGUGAUCAUUUCUUGGAAUUCAUGAAUAUUUAUUUAUUUUGUGAACAUUUUCUAAAUUCUGGAUUUUUUUUCAAAAUUCACAUAUGUGAACUACCACAUUCAAACACAAAUAUAAACAAAGGUAGCACAAUUUGAUACUUUGUAUCGCAUUAACUUAAAGUACUCAAUUCGAACAUAAUAAAACUAGUACAAGCAUACUAAAAACUACCUAAUCUUCUUCCAGCAGGAUUUUCUCCGAAUCCACUAAACCCUUACCGGAGCCCAAGGCUACAAAGAUCUCAAUGUGACAUGCCCAUCGCUCAUAGUGGAAGCAUUGGAGAAGAGAAGGAAGUCUCGUAAGGCAUGAGCAGCUACAUUAGUAGAUUUGUUACCAAUCUGUCGUAGACUCGUAGGAAUGAUCAGCCCAGUAUUAGAUGAAUCUAAGAGUGGUUAGAUUAAUUCUCAAGUGAUACCAAUGGCGUUAAAGUUGUCCUACAUCAACCCGUCCAAAACUGAACUUUUUAUUUAUCAGCUUUGCUAAUUUUAUCUGGAGCUUCUCUGCAACCGUGUAACACGUGCUCUUUAUCUUCUGCAAAAAAUUCCUUCCAUGUGCAACCUCUGUUGAACAUUUGAUACCCAUACGGUGUACAUUAGCGUGCAAUGCUACAUUAGCCCAUCUAUCAGAAUGGAAAUAUUAUUAAAUACAGCGACAUUAUAUUCUCGGAAUAUAACAUUGUAAGUAGGAUUUUUUUUUGUUUUGGAAGAAAACAACCUUGAAGGGCUUGAUUUCGUUGAUAUAGCAUUGUAAGUUACAUAUUUUGAUCCCUUGAAGUUAGAUAAAAUGAUCUUGUGGUAGAUUCGACAAGGUGUUUAAGAUUGAGCAAACAGGGUCAUGCCUAGAAUUACAACACUGAGCUCUUGAAGGAAUAGCGUGUCUCUGAAGAACUGACUUGCUACACUAUCAGGAAUUGCAUUUUUGUCUCUCUGUAGGUAACAGCAGUGAAGAUAAUUCGUACUAUCUGAUAUUUUCUUCGUUUCUAAUGUCGCUGGUCUGAGCAUCCAGUUCGGCAUUCAGGCUGUUGUCAGGUUUGAGGUUAUCUGAAAUAGCUGUCCUGUGGUGUACCUGCAAAACAUGAAAAAUAUAUGUGCAGCCAGCAAGACUGCAGCAACCAACUAGUUUGAGUAUUAAGCAUGCUGAUGGAGCCGUGAAGACCUAACCUCAUUGGGUUGCGAAAGAAGCACUAGAACAGCAGAAAGUUGUAGGAGCUCUGUACUGUGAUGAGCUCAUUUUGGUUGAUGGGAGGAUCCUUAGUUUGUAAACUUCUGGUCUUGGCAAUGUGAUAAUUGUGGGAUAAAAACUCUGUUUGGCAAGGUACAUAACCGAGUCUAUAGGUGUUUUUUUACUUUUGAAACUAUGGUUUUUUCUUGACUUCCAUAUCUACCAAAGUAGGAAUAACGUAAAAUUUGUGUCCAGACUCCAGACUCCAGAGAGGACGUGAGCCUCGUUAAAAUGAGGUGAAGAGUGUUAUCUACAGAAGUGCUGUUGAUGUCCGAGUUCCUCGGUUUUAUGCCCCAAGUGAGAUUUGAUUCGAACUGGAUUGCUUUAGCAUAAAGGUUUUAAUUCUGGGUUGAAUGCAUUUUUUUUUGGUUAGGUUGUCUAUAUAAUAUCAAUUGUUGUUGCUGGUUAAUGCAUGUUUGACAUUGUGCAGUACAGUUUGUAAAAACAGGGAGAGGUUUUGGGCAGUCCAGUCUAGUUUGUGCCUGGGUGGAAAACUUGGAGUUGGCCGAGAUGUAGGUAGCCCAGAUGUCGUCGCAUCAUAACACCGGUGGUCUCCAUUGCUGUACGCCGAGCUCGCCAAGCAAGAAGAUUUCCUUCUUAGUUUAAAAAUGGAACAUGUGCUUCACUUGAUGUAGAUUGUUUGAAAAAGGGGGGCUGCAGCUUCUGGUCUUAUUUGAAGGCUUUACAUCGCAUACCCCAUUGAUGUAGUAAUGACGAGUCUCCCAUUUUGUUUUGUACAGUGUCAUUGCAAUGUCAAGACGAUGAUGAUAUUAUAUUUUAUUUGCACUACACAAAAAUUUACAUGCAAUCCUAAGAUCCACGGUUUUACAAGGUAUUUACAUGCGGGACUAAGCCCACCAACCGAUCAACUGAAGAAGUGAACUACUCGCCUAAAUCCACUUUCGCAUGGCCGCAUGUGUCUCCAGUUAGUAGACCGGCCAUUUUCCAUACCUUUCCCUCCUAUUCGAUGCGUUGUUUGAUCCGUCGAAUGCACGGCGAUGCUUCAUUGAAGACAAUGUCAUUUCGGUGCUUCCAUAGCAGUCACAUGCCUAGCUAACACCUCGAUCUCGUUGCUUUGCGGUUCGCCGUCCCUAUAUCCUGCCGGAUGCACCACUCCCCCAGACUUUCAUCGUCUCUAGUCACAAACUCUAGUCUACCCGUGGCCACACUUAUCCAGUGCCAUACUUGCCUUGCAAAGGGACUCUUAAUGAGCAGGUGGUCCAUGGCCUCUUCUUGUAUAUCACACAACGGGCAUGCCUCCGGGUGCGAUAGUCCUUGCCUUGCUAAUCUGUCAGCCGUCCAACACCGGUUCUUAAGUGCAAGCCAUGCGAAGAAUCGACAUUCUAGCGGCGCUUUUGAAUCCUGAGUGAAGGAUGCUGUAGGCGACACUUCCAUCUCCAUGAACUUCGCCGCAUAGGUGGACCGCGCAGAAAACUGCCCUUCCUUCUCCCACAACCAAAUGAUCGAGUCAUCAACGUCUUCAUCCACUCGGAAGGUUGUGAUUCUUGGCCAUAGACGUAGCAACUCAGCGAGCAUACCUUGCUCGAUGUCCGAUCCAAUAUCUCCAGCCCACGCGUUGCCUUGGACCGCCUCCGCAACUGUGCGAGUCUUUCUGAUACGUUUCGAGAUCCUGGAAUAAAUUCCAGGUGCCAGCUCGCAAACUCUAAAUCCGUCGAUCCAUCGGUCCUUUGAGAAGAGAGUUGCAUUCCCGUUGCCCACCAUAGCGCUAGUGGCUGCAUGGAAUAAUGCCUUGACUCCGCCGGAACAUUUAUCUCAAACUCCGUCCAUGGCCUCUCCUUGUCCGUCCUCUGCAUCCAUGGCCAUAGUGCUUGCAGUGCUUUGUUUAGCCAUGCCAGGUUGGGAAUGGCCAGGCCACCGACCCAUUUGGGCCUGCACACUAGCUCCCAUGCCACCGCACAGUUUCCGCCAUUUGCUUCCCGCUUUCUACACUAGAGAAAACCACGACAUAUUAUGUUAAGUGCCGGGAGGAUUUUUGGUGGGAGGUCGAGUGCCAUCAUUAAGUGGAUGGGAAUGGCACAUAGAACUGAUAAUAUGAGAACCAGGCGAUCGCUCUUAGGCAUCAUCGCUACCUUCCACGUAGGUAGGUAACCCGCAACCCGAUCCACAAGACACUGGAACUGCGCGGCUGACUGUUUCCGCAAGGUCAGCGGAAAACCCAAGUAUGUGCAUGGAAAGGUCGAGAUUGUGCAGCCCAUAAGUUCGCCAACCAUAUCUAUCAUCUGCUACGAGCAUCUGGAAUUGCCAUGCUCUUUGCUUUGUUCACCACCAGCCCUGAAGCCCCACCAAAAAGUGACAAGAUGGCAUUGCAUGCUCGUGCCUCAAGUUCCGACGGCUUGAGGAAGAUCAUCACAUCAUCCGCAAACAUGGAAAUGCGCUGGUGCAUACCAGACCGUGCCAGGGGUGCAAAGAGGCCUCUCAUCGUGGCAUGCUGGAAUAACCGAUAGAGGGGCUCCAUGCAUAAGAUGAAUAUCAGUGGUGACACCGAGGCCCGUUGUCAUAAGCCUUGUCAAUUAAGAAUUGGCUUGCCUGGUACUCCAUUUACCAAAAUUCUCGUUGAUGAUGUAGACAGUAAUCCGCAAAUCCAGGAAAUCCACCUCUCCCUAAAGCCCAUUCACAUGAGGACCUCAAUCACAAACGGCCAUUGAAUUGUGUCGAAUGCCUUCGAGAUGUCAAGUUUCAACAUUACAGUUGGGUUUUUGAGCGCAUGAAGCCACCUUGCCGUGCACUGGACAAGCAUGAAGUUGUUGUGUAGGGANNNNNNNNNNNNNNNNNNNNNNNNNNNNNNNNNNNNNNNAGGGAACGCCCCCAUACAAAGGCACUCUGAUUUUUCCCAACCAACUUUGGAAGGUCAUCCGUAAGUCGUGAAGCUAGAAUCUUCUCGAAGAUCUUCACAUCCCCAUGUAUCAAACUUACCGGCCUGUAGUCCUUAAUAUCCACUCCCUCAUUCUUAGGAAGCAACGACACAAGCGCAUUAUUGAUAGCUGGCAUCCCUCUCAUAUCUCCCUCAUAGAAUUGGGAUAAAUCCCUCAUGAAAUCAAUCAUCUUUGAUUAUGAGCCAACAAGUCGCACAGAAGCGACGGGUAAAGCCAUCCGGUACGGGUGCUUUGUCCGAAGGCAUGGACUUGAUUAUUCGUGCCACUUCCUCCUCGCAUAACAUGGCUUCUAGGUGCGAUAGAUCGUGAGAUGGUAGGUCGAAGAAGUCCAAGUUCAAGGUGUGGUCACGUGUCGCCGCUGAUCUGAGUAGAGUGUCGUAGUACUCAUCCACCACCUCGGAGAUCUCAUCCCGUCCUGUGAAAAUCUACCCAUUGUGACGCAAGGUGGUGAUGCUGUUUUUUCCUUUGCCUUUGCCGGUGUCUAGGUUGUCGAUGAAAGAACGACGUGUUCACUUCCCCUUCCUUUAGAUGUAACAGUCGUGAUCUUUGCCUAGCAAUAGAUCGAUCCAUCGAGCUAAGGGCAAGCAAUUUCUUCUUAAGAAGUUUGCGCAAGCCAUGCUCUUGCUCAGAUAAAACACGUGACUCUGCGGCCACAUCAAGGCGCAUGCUCACCUCCUUAGCGAUGGAUAGCUGUAGGCGAAUGUUGCCAACGAACCAAUCACUCCACCUUUGAAGCACUUUGGCAGUUUCAUGCAACUUAUUGUCUAGCUAGCACAAGGAACGGGUUCCCCACAGAUGGAAUAGUCUGCCAAGUCUCCGCCACCGUCUGCAUGAAGCCUUCGGCCCUGGGCCAAAAGCUCUCGAACCGAAAGCUGUUGGAAUUAUGCCCUAGAGGCAAUAAUAAAUAUAGUUAUUAUUAUAAUUCCUGUAUCAAGAUAAUCGUUUAUAAUCCAUGCUAUAAUUGUAUUGAAUGAAGACUCAUUUACAUGUGUGGAUACAUAGACAAAACACUGUCCCUAGCAAGCCUCUAGUUGGCUAGCCAGUUGAUCAAAGAUAGUCAGUGUCUUCUGAUUAUGAACAAGGUGUUGUUGCUUGAUAACUGGAUCACGUCAUUAGGAGAAUCACGUGAUGGACUAGACCCAAACUAAUAGACGUAGCAUGUUGAUCGUGUCAUUUUGUUGCUACUGUUUUCUGCAUGUCAAGUAUUUGUUCCUAUGACCAUGAGAUCAUAUAACUCACUGACACCGGAGGAAUACUUUAUGUGUAUCAAACGUCGCAACGUAACUGGGUGACUAUAAAGAUGCUCUACAGGUAUCUCCGAAGGUGUUAGUUGAGUUAGUAUGGAUCAAGACUGGGAUUUGUCACUCCGUGUGACGAAGAGGUAUCUCGGGGCCCACUCGGUAAUACAACAUCACACACAAGCCUUGCAAGCAAUGUGACUUAGUGUAAGUUGCGGGAUCUUGUAUUACGGAACGAGUAAAGAGACUUGCCGGUAAACAAGGUUGAAAUAGGUAUACGGAUACUGACGAUCGAAUCUCGGGCAAGUAACAUACCGAAGGACAAAGGGAAUGACAUACGGGAUUAUAUGAAUCCUUUGCACUGAGGUUCAAACGAUAAGAUCUUCGUAGAAUAUGUAGGAUCCAAUAUGGGCAUCCAGGUCCCGCUAUUGGAUAUUGACCGAGUCUCUCGGGUCAUGUCUACAUAGUUCUCGAACCCGCAGGGUNNNNNNNNNNNNNNNNNNNNNNNNNNNNNNNNNNNNNNNNNNNNNNNNNNNNNNNNNNNNNNNNNNNNNNNNNNNNNNNNNNNNNNNNNNNNNNNNNNNNNNNNNNNNNNNNNNNNNNNNNNNNNNNNNNNNNNNNNNNNNNNNNNNNNNNNNNNNNNNNNNNNNNNNNNNNNNNNNNNNNNNNNNNNNNNNNNNNNNNNNNNNNNNNNNNNNNNNNNNNNNNNNNNNNNNNNNNNNNNNNNNNNNNNNNNNNNNNNNNNNNNNNNNNNNNNNNNNNNNNNNNNNNNNNNNNNNNNNNNNNNNNNNNNNNNNNNNNNNNNNNNNNNNNNNNNNNNNNNNNNNNNNNNNNNNNNNNNNNNNNNNNNNNNNNNNNNNNNNNNNNNNNNNNNNNNNNNNNNNNNNNNNNNNNNNNNNNNNNNNNNNNNNNNNNNNNNNNNNNNNNNNNNNNNNNNNNNNNNNNNNNNNNNNNNNNNNNNNNNNNNNNNNNNNNNNNNNNNNNNNNNNNNNNNNNNNNNNNNNNNNNNNNNNNNNNNNNNNNNNNNNNNNNNNNNNNNNNNNNNNNNNNNNNNNNNNNNNNNNNNNNNNNNNNNNNNNNNNNNNNNNNNNNNNNNNNNNNNNNNNNNNNNNNNNNNNNNNNNNNNNNNNNNNNNNNNNNNNNNNNNNNNNNNNNNNNNNNNNNNNNNNNNNNNNNNNNNNNNNNNNNNNNNNNNNNNNNNNNNNNNNNNNNNNNNNNNNNNNNNNNNNNNNNNNNNNNNNNNNNNNNNNNNNNNNNNNNNNNNNNNNNNNNNNNNNNNNNNNNNNNNNNNNNNNNNNNNNNNNNNNNNNNNNNNNNNNNNNNNNNNNNNNNNNNNNNNNNNNNNNNNNNNNNNNNNNNNNNNNNNNNNNNNNNNNNNNNNNNNNNNNNNNNNNNNNNNNNNNNNNNNNNNNNNNNNNNNNNNNNNNNNNNNNNNNNNNNNNNNNNNNNNNNNNNNNNNNNNNNNNNNNNNNNNNNNNNNNNGGUGAUGUGCGUUUUGCUGCCCUCCUUAGUCUUUUCUUGAUUCCGCGGUAUUGUUGGAUGAAGCGGCUCGGACCGACAUUACUCAUACGCUUACGAGAGACUGGUUUAUCGCUACGAGUAACUCCGUUGCUCAAAGAUGACUGGCGGGUGUCAGUUUAUCCAACUUUAGUUGAAUCGGAUUUGACCGAGGAGAUCCUUGGAUGAGGUUAAAUAGCAACUCAUAUAUCUCCGUUGUGGUGUUUGCGUAAGUAAGAUGCGAUCCUACUAGAUACCCAUGGUCACCACGUAAAACAUGCAACAACAAAAUUAGAGGACGUCUAACUUGUUUUUGCAGGGUAUGCUUGUGAUGUGAUAUGGCCAACGAUGUGAUGUGAUAUAUUGGAUGUAUGAGAUGAUCAUGUUGUAAUAGUUAAUAUCGACUUGCACGUCGAUGCUACAGCAACCGGCAGGAGCCAUAGGGUUGUCUUUAAACUAACGUUUGUGUUUUGCAGAUGUGUUUACUAUAUUGCUAGGACGUAUGUUUGCAGAUGCAUUUACUAUAUUGCUAGGUUGUAGCUUUAGUAGUAAUAGCAUAGAUAGCAUGACAACCUUGAUAGCGGCACGAUGAUGGAGAUCAUGGUGUGGCGCCGGUGACAAGAAGAUCGUACCGGUGCUUUGGUGAUGGAGAUCAAGAAGCACGUGAUGAUGGCCAUAUCAUGUCACUUAUGAAUUGCAUGUGAUGUUAAUCCUUUUAUGCACCUUAUUUUGCUUAGAACGACGGUAGCAUUAUGAGGUGAGCUCUCACUAAAAUUUCAAGACGAAAUUGUGUUCUCCCCGACUGUGCACCGUUCCUACAGUUCGUCGUUUCGAGACACCACGUGAUGAUCGGGUGUGAUAGACUCAACGUUCACAUACAACGGGUGCAAAACAGUUGCGCACGCGGAACACUUGGGUUAAGCUUGACGAGCCUAGCAUGUGCAGACAUGGCCUCGGAACACAUGAGACCGAAAGGUCGAUCAUGAAUCAUAUAGAUGAUAUGAUUAGCAUAGGGAUGCUUACCACUGAAACUAUACUCAACUCACGUGAUGAUCGGACUUGAGCUAGUGUAAGUGGAUCAUGAACCACUCAAAUGACUAGAGAGAUGUACUUUUUGAAUGGGAGUUUAGCGAAUAAUUUGAUUAAGUUAAACCCUAAUUAUCUUGAACAUAGUCUAAAGUCCACUUUGAAUAUAUUUGUGUUGCAGAUCAUGGCUCACGCGACAGUCAUCCUGAAUUUUAAUACGUUCCUAGAGAAAGCUAAGUUGAAAGAUGAUGGAAGCAACUUUGUAGACUGGGCUCGUAAUCUUAAGCUAAUCUUACAAGCUGGGAAAAAGGAUUAUCUCCUUAAUGCUGCGCUAGGAGAUGAACCACCCGCUACGGCUGAUCGGGAUGUUAAGAACGCUUGGUUAACACGUAAGGAGGACUACUCAGUAGUUCAAUGUGCAGUCUUGUAUGACUUAGAACCGGGACUUCAACGUCGCUUUGAGCGUCAUGGAGCAUUUGAGAUGUUCCAGGAGUUGAAGUUUAUCUUUCAGAAGAACGCCCGGAUCGAGAGGUAUGAGACCUCCGAUAAAUUCUAUGCUUGCAAAAUGGAGGAAAACUCAUCUGUCAGUGAACAUGUGCUCAAAAUGUCUGGGUACUCAAACCGUCUAGCUGAGCUGGGGAUUGAACUCCCGCAAGAAGCUAUCACUGACAGAAUCCUUCAAUCACUGCCGCCAAGCUGUAAAGGCUUUGUGUUGAACUACAACAUGCAAGGGAUGAACAAGUCUCCCGGCGAGUUGUUUGCGAUGCUGAAAGUCGCAGAGUCUGAACUCCGUAAAGAGCAUCAAGUGUUGAUGGUGAAUAACACCACUAGUUUCAAGAGAAACGACAAAGGCAAGAAGGGUAAUUCGAAGAAGAGCGGCAAGCCUGUUGCCAAUCCGACGAAGAAACCCAAAGCUGGACCUAAGCCUGAAACAGAGUGUUACUAUUGCAAGGGUAUGGGUCACUGGAAGCGCAAUUGCCCCAAGUAUCUGGCUGAUAAGAAGGCGGCCAAAGAAAAAUCAGGUAUACUUAACCGGCUCUCGUAGUAGUGCCGAGUAUUUGAUACCGGUUCUGUUGCUCAUAUUUGCAACUCGAAACAGGAACUGCGGAAUAGACGAAGGCUGGCGAAAGAUGAAGUGACGAUGUGCGUGGGAAAUGGUUCCAAGGUUGAUGCAAUCGCCGUCGGCACAGUCUCACUUCAGUUACCGUCAGGAUUAGUUAUGAACUUAAAUCAUUGUUAUUUAGUGCCUGCGUUGAGCAUGAACAUUAUAUCUGGAUCUUGUUUAUUGCGAGACGGUUACUCUUUUAAGUCAGAGAAUAAUGGUUGUUCUAUUUCUAUGAGUAACAUCUUUUAUGGUCAUGCACCCAAUGUGAGAGGAUUGUUCAUAUUGAAUCUUGAUAGUGAUACACACAUACAUAACAUUGAGACCAAAAGAGUUAGAGUUAACAAUGAUAGCGCCAUAUUUUUGUGGCACUGCCGCUUAGGUCAUAUUGGUGUAAAGCGCAUGAAGAAACUCCAUGCCGAUGGACUUUUGGAGUCACUUGACUUUGAUUCACUUGACACGUGCGAACCAUGCCUCAUAGGCAAGAUGACUAAGACUCCGUUCUCCGGAACAAUGGAGCGUGCAAGUGACUUGUUGGAAAUCAUACAUACCGAUGUGUGUGGUCCGAUGAGCAUGGAGGCACGCGGCGGAUAUCGUUAUUUUCUCACCUUCACUGACGAUUUGAGUAGAUAUGGUUAUGUCUACUUAAUGAAGCACAAGUCUGAAACAUUUGAAAAGUUCAAGCAAUUUCAGAGUGAAGUUGAAAAUCAUCGUAACAAGAAGAUCAAGUUCCUACGGUCUGAUCGUGGGGGUGAAUAUCUGAGUUUCGAGUUUGCUGCUCACUUAAGACAAUGUGGAAUUGUUUCACAGUUGACACCGCCUGGAACACCACAGCGUAAUGGUGUGUCCGAACGUCGUAAUCGUACUUUAUUAGAGAUGGUGCGAUCUAUGAUGUCUCUUACCGAUUUGCCGUUAUCGUUUUGGGGUUAUGCAUUAGAAACAGCUGCAUUCACUUUAAAUAGGGCACCAUCAAAAUCCGUUGAGACGACACCAUACGAACUGUGGUUUGGCAAAAGGCCAAAGUUGUCGUUUCUUAAAGUUUGGGGAUGUGAUGCUUAUGUCAAAAAGCUUCAGCCUGAAAAGCUGGAACCCAAAGCGGAAAAGUGCGUCUUCAUAGGUUACCCAAAAGAGACAGUUGGGUACACCUUCUAUCUCAAAUCCGAGGGCAAAGUGUUUGUUGCUAAAAACGGAGCUUUUCUCGAGAAGGAGUUUCUCUCGAGAGAAUUGAGUGGGAGGAAGAUAGAACUUGACGAGGUUGUCGAACCUCUCAUCCCUCUGGAUGGUGGCGCAGGGCAAGGGGAAACCUUUGUCGUUGCGACACCGGUUGAGGAGGAAGUUAAUGAUGAUGAUCAUGAAACUCUGGUUCAAGUUUCUGUCGAACCACGCAGGUCGACGAGACCACGUGCUGCUCCAGAGUGGUACGGCAAUCCCGUCUUAUCGAUCAUGUUGUUAGACAACAAUGAACCUGCAAAUUAUGAAGAAGCAAUGGUGGGCCCAGAUUCCAACAAAUGGCUAGAAGCCAUGAAGUCCGAGAUAGGAUCCAUGUAUGAGAACAAAGUGUGGACUUUGGAGGUACUGCCUGAGGGCCGCAAGGCUAUUCACAACAAAUGGUUCUUUAAGAGAAGACGGACGCUGACGGCAAUGUGACCGUUUAUAAAGCUCGACUUGUGGCAAAGGGUUUUUCACAAGUUCAAGGAGUUGACUACGAUGAGACAUUCUCACCCGUAGCGAUGCUUAAGUCCGUCAGAAUCAUGUUAGCAAUAGCUGCAUUUUUCAAUUAUGAAAUCUGACAGAUGGAUGUCAAAACGGCGUUCCUUAACGGUUUCCUUAAGGAAGAAUUGUAUAUGAUGCAACCUGAAGGUUUUGUCGAUCCUAAGAAUGCUAACAAGGUGUGCAAGCUCCAGCGAUCCAUUUAUGGACUGGUGCAAGCAUCUCGGAGUUGGAACAAACGCUUUGAUGAGGUGAUCAAAGCAUUUGGGUUUAUACAAGUGGUUGGAGAAUCUUGUAUUUACAAGAAAGUGAGUGGGAGCUCUGUGGCGUUUCUAAUAUUAUAUGAACGUAGAGUUUUUGGAGAGCAUAAAGGAUUACUUGAAUAAAAGUUUCUCUAUGAAGGACCUAGGAGAAGCUGCUUACAUUCUAGGCAUUGAGGUCUAUAGGGAUAGAUCAAAACGCCUGAUAGGACUUUCACAAAGCACAUACCUUGAUAAAGUUUUGAAAAGGUUCAAAAUGGAACAGUCCAAGAAGGGGUUCUUACCAGUUUUACAAGGUACGAGAUUGAGUAAGACUCAGUGCCCAGCAACUGAUGAAGAUAGAGAGCAUAUGCGCUCCGUCCCCUAUGCUUCGGCCAUAGGUUCUAUCAUGUAUGCAAUGCUGUGCACUAGACCGGACGUUAGCCUGGCCAUAAGUAUGGCAUGUAGGUUCCAGAGUAAUCCAGGAGUGGAUCACUAGACGGCGGUCAAGAAUAUCCUGAAGUACCUGAAAAGGACUAAGGAGAUGUUUCUCGUAUAUGGAGGUGACGAAGAGCUCGCCGUAAAAGGUUACGUCGAUGCAAGCUUUGACACAGAUCCGGACGACUCUAAGUCGCAAACCGGAUACAUAUUUAUUCUUAAUGGGGGUGCGGUAAGCUGGUGCAGUUCCAAGCAAAGCGUCGUAGCAGAUUCUACAUGUGAAGCGGAGUACAUGGCUGCCUCGGAGGCGGCUAAGGAGGGUGUUUGGAUGAAGCAAUUCAUGACGGAUCUUGGAGUGGUGCCAAGCGCACUGAAUCCAAUAACCUUGUUCUGUGACAACACGGGUGCCAUUGCCUUAGCAAAGGAACCACGGUUUCACAAGAAGUCCAGACACAUCAAACAACGCUUCGACCUCAUCCGCGACUACAUCGAAGGGGAGGACGUAAAUAUAUGCAAAGUGCACACGGAUCUGAAUGUAGCAGACCCGCUGACUAAGCCUCUUCCACAGCCAAAGCAUGAUCAACACCAGAACUGUAUGGGUGUUAGAUUUAUUACAAUGUAAUUCGCAUGAUGACGUGAGGGCUAGAUUAUUGACUCUAGUGCAAGUGGGAGACUGUUGGAAUUAUGCCCUAGAGGCAAUAAUAAAUAUAGUUAUUAUUAUAAUUCCUGUAUCAAGAUAAUCCUUUAUUAUCCAUGCUAUAAUUGUAUUGAAUGAAGACUCAUUUACAUGUGUGGAUACAUAGACAAAACACUGUCCCUAGCAAGCCUCUAGUUGGCUAGCCAGUUGAUCAAAGAUAGUCAGUGUCUUCUGAUUAUGAACAAGGUGUUGUUGCUUGAUAACUGGAUCACGUCAUUAGGAGAAUCACGUGAUGGACUAGACCCAAACUAAUAGACGUAGCAUGUUGAUCGUGUCAUUUUGUUGCUACUGUUUUCUGCGUGUCAAGUAUUUGUUCCUAUGACCAUGAGAUCAUAUAACUCACUGACACCGGAGGAAUACUUUGUGUGUAUCAAACGUCGCAACGUAACUGGGUGACUAUAAAGAUGCUCUACAGGUAUCUCCGAAGGUGUUAGUUGAGUUAGUAUGGAUCAAGACUGGGAUUUGUCACUCCGUGUGACGAAGAGGUAUCUCGGGGCCCACUCGGUAAUACAACAUCACACACAAGCCUUGCAAGCAAUGUGACUUAGUGUAAGUUGCGGGAUCUUGUAUUACGGAACGAGUAAAGAGACUUGCCGGUAAACAAGGUUGAAAUAGGUAUACGGAUACUGACGAUCGAAUCUCGGGCAAGUAACAUACCGAAGGACAAAGGGAAUGACAUACGGGAUUAUAUGAAUCCUUGGCACUGAGGUUCAAACGAUAAGAUCUUCGUAGAAUAUGUAGGAUCCAAUAUGGGCAUCCAGGUCCCGCUAUUGGAUAUUGACCGAGGCACACUUAAGGUUCGGCGUUGUUUUAUGCGUAUUUGAGUUAUAUGGUUGGUUACCGAAUGUUGUUCGGAGUCCUGGAUGAGAUCACGGACGUCACGAGGGUUUCCGGAAUGGUCCGGAAACGAAGAUUGAUAUAUAGGAUGACCUCAUCUGAUUACCGGAAGGUUUUCGGAGUUACCAGGAAUGUACCGGGAAUGACGAAUGGGUUCCGGGAGUUCACCGGGGGGGGGGGGCACCCACCCCGGGGAAGCCCAUAGGUGUUUGGGGUGCCGCACCAGCCCUUAGUGGGCUGGUGGGACAGCCCAAGAGAGGCCUAUGCGCAUUGGGAAGAAAAUCAAAGAGGAAAGGAAAAAAAGGAGGAGGUGGGAAAGGGAAGAAGGACUCCACCUUCCAAACCAAGUAGGACUCGGUUUGGGAGGGGAAUCCUUCCCCCCUUGGCUCGGCCGACCCCUUGGGGGUUCUUGGACCCCAAGGCAAGGCUCCCCCUCCCUCUCCUAUAUAUAGUGGGGUUUUAGGGCUGAUUUGAGACAACUUUGCCACGGCAGCCCGACCACAUAUCUCCACGGUUUCACCUCUAGAUCGCGUUUCUGCGGAGCUCGGGCGGAGCCCUGCUGAGACGAGAUCAUCACCAACCUCCGGAGCGCCGUCACGCUGCCGGAGAACUCUCCUACCUCUCCGUCUCUCUUGCUGGAUCAAGAAGGCCGAGAUCAUCGUCGAGCUGUACGUGUGCUGAACGCGGAGGUGUCGUCCGUUCGGCACUAGAUCGUGGGACUGAUCGCGGGACGGUUCGCGGGGCGGAUCGAGGGGCGUGAGGACGUUCCACUACAUCAACUACGUUCACUAACGCUUCUGCUGUACGGUCUACAAGGGUACGUAGAUCACUCAUCCCCUCUCGUAGAUGGACAUCACCAUGAUAGGUCUUCGUGCGCGUAGGAAAUUUUUUGUUUCCCAUGCGACGUUCCCCAACAAAAGCGCCGGCCCGUACUGAAUUCCGGGUAUAAGGGACAGGGAAAUGACACAUGAGCAUACAUUGGAGGCUGACUUGUGAGAGUGACAGCCUGACAUGGAAAAGGAGGCUGCCUUGUGGGCCGACCAAACAUGGUACCAACAAGGAUGGAUGACGUGGCGGCCCACACAAAAAUCAUCAUCAAAACCAGCCAAGGUGGACAAAUACCGGUUUUCAUGGAUGGAGAAGAAGAUUUUAUGGCUUUCUAAUUCGAGGAGGAAAAUCGAAUGACCUGAAUGAUUGCCCCCAACAAUUCAAGGAUGUUCAGUGGAUUCCUUCCUAUUAGAAACGAGCAAAUACUUCACUAGUGCAGAAUACUACUCCCUCUGUCCCAUAUUAUGGGUCAGAGGGAGUAGAUUGUAGGUAUCUCAUUGCUGGAUCCGGUCUGGUGUGAUCGAAUUCAUAUCCACCACGCUUGUUUUUUUUUGCGAGUGACCACCACGCUUGCUAUUGACCAUAAGUAAUCUAUAGCUUGUCCAAGAUCUUCUUUGUUCAUUCCUGUCAUCCAAUUCUACGUAUGUUUUCAUUAACAUGUUUGCUAUUAUUCAAAUGAGCGGAUUUUUUUGCCGCCUAUGUUCAUUGUUGUGUGAGAGCAAGGUGAAAUCUCGAGGGUGAGAUCAGGACACCGCAAGCAGUCACGGUGAGCUUGAGACAUGUUGUGGAUGCACGGCCAUCGGCAUUGGACACGAAAGAGGUCACAUUCAGAUGCGGGGAUUCCAUGCGCCAGACAAGAAGGGUAUUUAGCGCCCCCACCAAACACAAAUCCCUGUUUUAGGGGCAUAAGUAGAACAAAUUAUUCUCAUUAGCCCCCCUCCCCCGAACAUGUACACUUUGCUUUCUGCCCCCUCACAUCACAGUUAAGCUUCGCCACUGGUGUUAGAGUGAAGUCCACCCAUGGUAGCUCAACAGAGGUGGUAGCUUAGGCAAAACAUGAUAUCAAUGUGCAUGCUUUUGUUUGGAAAUGCAAAUCAUGAAAUGGGUACUAUGAUUGUCGAAGGUGAAAUAUGAGGUAUGAUGGGUUACUGUCCGCAUACGCGUCCAACCAUGUCCAUAGACGGCUGGCAACUCAAAUUAGCUACGUAGUAGCGGAGCCAUGACGAAGAGACACCCAGGCCAGCCUACAACGCAAUGUAGCUACAGUCAACUAGACAACUUUCGUCCAUGUCCUAGGAGGCUGCCCCGUCUGCCUGGGGCUAACGCCGCCCCUGGUAGUAGAUGCUAUUAUAGCGUCUACAAUUGUGUUGGGCUAACUUUACUCUAGACGCGUCUAUACAAUGUUUAGACCUAUCUGUUUUGAGCCCACGUUUGUUUGUUCGUUUGCACAACCGUGUCCAUUAAAUUGUUCGGUCACAUGUAUAUGUUGCAUUUGGUUGGUGGAGAUAAAGAAAGGAAAAGAAAAAAGGACAACACUACCCAGCGGCGCCGCACCUGCGUCUUGCGGUGGGGCGGCCGAACUAAUCACCAUUCUAAUAUAAAAGUAGCGUUGCUUUAGUGCUUUGCUAAUCAUGUUAAUUUAAAAAAAGUAAUGUGAUGCUGCGGCCAAACCCUCUCCCUUCGUCAUUCACGCAUGCAUGCAUGCAUGCAAUGAUGUCAUCAGAUUUUUCUAAAAUGAUUAAAAUUCAAAAAAAUUAUCUUUCAAACCAUUAAUUCGAUCGAUGAUCCGUUUUCGUCGUUGACUUUGUUUCGACGAAAUCUUUAAAACUAGAUCCCAUGUCGAUAUGUUUCGACAACUUUUUUGUUUCUCGUACUUACCACAUUUGUUGUACGUACUUGUCAUAUUAGUAAAUACUUACUUGUCUGAUAAAAGUUAACUUAAUCGUCAUAUUUUUUAGAAAUUGCGUAUAAAUAUGACAUCUCGACAUAAUCGGACGAGCAAGCACAAACGACAUUUUUAAGAUGAUAACGUGUAAAAAUAUGACAACUCAGCAUAUUUAAAAUCGACGACCAGAAGAAAUCUUUUUUUGGUAAUUGUUAGUAAAUAUGACAAGUCGUCAUAGUUAAAGUAGCAAACACACAAAAUAUUUUUCUGGCAAAGUUGUAUGUAAAUAUGAUAAGUUGACAUAUUUAAAUUGGCAAACCAAACCUAUGACAUGCAUUUAUAUCAUGUAUAAUGAAAAUUGCUACAAGACAACAAUAAUUUGUCAAACACGGUCGUCGGGUUUAAACAAGCGUAGUUGAUAAAAAUUUAUACACACAGUUGUCAAAUUGACAACUAGGUUAAUUAAAUAUGGCUACUAAGUGUCUCAUAAUCUAACAACUAAGUAAUAGUAAUCUGGCAACUAUCGAUGAAAAAAAAAAGUUGUCGAAACAUGUCGACAUGGGAUCUAGUUUUGAAGAUCUCGUUGCGAGAAAGCUAACGGUGUAAACGGAUCGUCAAUUGAAUUUAUAGUUCAAGAGAUAAAACUUUUUAAAAAUUCAACAUUAAAAGACCGGUCGCACUGCAUGCUAACACAAUGUCGUACGAUGCCUGCACAGAUCGUUGCAUGCGCCCGCCGCACGGGAAGGAAGAGGUGCGGCGUCGUUACUUAGAUUUUCCCAAGAAAAAAUGGUCUAGAUGGGCCUUGUCCGACAUGCCCAGAGAACCUCAUAUCCUCCCCAGUUAUGAAGUGAUUUUUGUUUUGCAAAAUCGAUAAACAUUUUUUGGAUCUGUGAAGUUUUUUAAAAAUUUAUGAGCUUUUUGAAAAGGAUCGUUAACUUUUCUCUAAAAUUUUGAACUUUUUUGAAUCUGCCAACAUUUCCUCAGAUCCACUAUCUUUUCUUGAACUCAUGAACUUUUUAUGAUUUUUUUAUUAAACGGGCGAGCGAUCACGUGGCUCGUUUGAUUGGCCGGCGAGCUCUUGAACUAGCCAACUUAUUUGGGCUACUGGUUGGGCUGUCCGAAUAAACUAGGCCCAUUAUUUAGGCUUGUUCCUCUUCCUAUCGUCUUCCCCCCAAAAUCAACCGACUGAACCUCUGCUUCUUGAAAUCGGUUACACCUUCCUCGCCGUCCUUCCUCCCCUCUCAUCGUUUCUCGAUCGUAGCUUCCUUCCCUCCUCUGGGCGUCCUUGCGAAGCUGUUCGGACGAGGCGAGAUGGCGGGCAAGCGGAAGGCCGAAGACAACCUUACCGGGACAAGGCAUCCGGCUGCGCGUGCGCGGACGGACACUAGAGACGGCGAGGACCUCGUCGGUACAUCGGCGCAGACAUCAGGGCGGACGGAGAAUGCAGCCGGCCACAGAAUUUCCGGGACUUUGCAGGCGCUUGCAGGGCUGACGGCGGCGACUACAGGCUCCGCCGGCGGCUUUUCCCAGUCCGGUGG